GAUGAAGAACGUAGCGAAAUGCGAUAAGUAAUGUGAAUUGCAGAAUUCAGUGAAUCAUCGAAUCUUUGAACGCACCUUGCGCCCUUUGGCCAUUCCGAAGGGCAUGCCUGUUUGAGUAUCAUGAACACCUCAACUCUUCAUGGUUUUCCAUGAUGAGCUUGGACUUUGGGGGUCUUGCUGGCCUGUGGGUCGGCUCCUCUCAAAUGAAUCAGCUUGCCGGUUUUUGGUGGGCAUCACAGGUGUGAUAACUAUCUACGCUUGUGGUUUUCCACCAGGGUAACCUUCAGCAGUGGAGGUUCACUAGAGCUUACAAAUGUCUCUCCUCUGUGAGGACAGCCCUUUGAAUGUUUGAUCUCAAAUCAGGUAGGACUACCCGCUGAACUUAAGCAUAUCAAUAAGCGGAGGA
rnacentral:misc_RNA from 1 species